AGAGUUUGAUCCUGGCUCAGGACGAACGCUGGCGGCGUGCUUAACACAUGCAAGUCGAACGGAAAGGCCCUUCGGGGUACUCGAGUGGCGAACGGGUGAGUAACACGUGGGUGAUCUGCCCUGCACUUUGGGAUAAGCCUGGGAAACUGGGUCUAAUACCGAAUAGGACCGCGCGCUUCAUGGUGUGUGGUGGAAAGCUUUUGCGGUGUGGGAUGGGCCCGCGGCCUAUCAGCUUGUUGGUGGGGUAAUGGCCUACCAAGGCGACGACGGGUAGCCGGCCUGAGAGGGUGACCGGCCACACUGGGACUGAGAUACGGCCCAGACUCCUACGGGAGGCAGCAGUGGGGAAUAUUGCAGAAUGGGCGCAAGCCUGAUGCAGCGACGCCGCGUGAGGGAUGACGGCCUUCGGGUUGUAAACCUCUUUCACCAGGGACGAAGCGCAAGUGACGGUACCUGGAGAAGAAGCACCGGCCAACUACGUGCCAGCAGCCGCGGUAAUACGUAGGGUGCGAGCGUUGUCCGGAAUUACUGGGCGUAAAGAGCUCGUAGGUGGUUUGUCGCGUUGUUCGUGAAAACUCACAGCUUAACUGUGGGCGUGCGGGCGAUACGGGCAGACUAGAGUACUGCAGGGGAGACUGGAAUUCCUGGUGUAGCGGUGGAAUGCGCAGAUAUCAGGAGGAACACCGGUGGCGAAGGCGGGUCUCUGGGCAGUAACUGACGCUGAGGAGCGAAAGCGUGGGGAGCGAACAGGAUUAGAUACCCUGGUAGUCCAA
rnacentral:rRNA from 1 species